AUCUACAAACAAUUACGUAUUUUAAGCCUACAUAUAACAAUAUAUUUUGCCUGGCAGUUGGUUACAUUUAGGACCUAGAACUAUACUAUACGUCGAAUAAGCUAUAUCGUUUAAUCCUUCGCUCGAAUGUACUGUACACUGUUUGCAAGUAGCUGAUGACUCCUUUCUAAAACUAAAAUAUCUUCUCAUAGGAUUGUUCAAAAAGCCCAAGCGCCAGAUUUGCUCGAACGUGUGGCACUAUGCAGUGUAAUCUAAAGUCGCGUGGCAUGUCAUCCGUAAGAUACCUGUAGAGACGAGCUUCUGAUAUUUACAAUUCUACAAAAGCCCGGAUCUACAGGGUAGAUCACGAAUGUGCCUAUCUUAUGCCCCCACUCUUUUCGGCCAUUGUCUCCUCUAGGUAGCGAGAUCUGUAACAUAGAAGCCCAGUUUUUAUUCAUACGUCGAAACCACGAAAGAGGAGGAUAGGGUUAUGUUUAGGUUAGAAGGCUCAUUUCCAUGAAUGCGGUAAUCGAUAGCGAACAUGGUGUUGCCCAUCGUUAAAUUGCACUCUGAAAAUUGUACAUCGUGUCCAGUCAUUAAAUUACCAUUCAGUGCUACAGGAAGAGUUAUCCUCGAGAUUGAAUACGAAUCGUGCAAUGGUUGCAAUAACCAAGCGAUAGUAAUCGCGAAUUAAUUGCAUGAUACCGAUUGCAAAGUGAUCAAGCGUGCAAUGACACGUAGCUACAUAUGAAUAACCGUAUGAGCAUGACUAUAUAAAGCCGGCAGGGAUUAGAAAUUUCGCCCCAGCUACCGAACCGUACGUGACGCCGGAAAACCUUCACUAAAAUCGGACGUGACAUCGCAUGCAUAUCCGGAAUACGACAGAAGGAAGUCGAUGUAUUUGACGUGAAAAAUAGAAAAUUAACAAGAGAUCGGAAUUGAAUUCGUGGAAUCAGAGUGGAAGAAAAAUAGCAAUGGCAGAACACGAAUCAGAAUAAUUAGUGACUAACCAUUGGAAAAUAGGAGGACACAAAACAUUACAUGCUUCUGAUCGUUCGCGCGAGCAACAGGCGGAGCAAACAGCUCGCGUGCAACGCAGCUGUUCAACAACCGAUUAAAGUGCAUAAGCCAAAGACCUAAAAAGAUUAGAUUUCACGAAAUUCCAACGAGUAACUAUAAGAUAGGCAGGCGUGCGCGCCUUCACGUUCACAGAAUCGAGGUCAAAGUAUCGACAUGCUGGGAAUACUAUUAGAAAAGUGAAAUCACGAAAACGGACAGCACGAUCGCUGUGGCAAACUUAACGAAACCGCUAUACGGAAAUCAUACAACGAGCACGGCUACGAAACGAAAGAAAGGAAGCAGAAGUAAGAAAGAAGUUGUAACAAGUGGAAAGCAUGGAAAAACGACGUAGGAGAAUUUCCCGAAAGUUGUAUCCAGUUAACACUCGUGCAGAGCAUAAUCACGAGUGGAUACAGCCCUGAGGUCGUUUCAACUCGGUGGAAAUCGUGCAGCCUCGGCUUCGAAUCCCUGUCAACCGGAUCACAGGCGAAAGGGAGAGGGUAAAAGGCAGGGGCCACCCUUCGUCUCAUCAUCUUUUCGCGCUCAUAGCCGGGCAUAUCUGCUCGGAGCCAGGCCUGUGCUCUCCUCUUCUCGGAGGAAUCGCCUGGAAAAGCUCCGUUUUCCCUCGACCUACCCUCUCCACCCUCGUGUCGCCACCCCCACCUUCACCAACAAAGUCUCCCAAUAACGUUAGCCUGCUCCGUUCCUUCUCCGUUCUGGAGCGACGUAUUGAUCGUCUCUCUGCUCUCCUGAAGCCGCGACCGGAGGAGCCUGACAUCCGCUGAGGGAAACGAAGAAUGGAGAGAAAACGCAUCUUCGGAGAGAGGGAGAGAGAGAGAGAGAGAUAGAUGUGAGGGGGUGGCUUCGAUGAAACUGGCUCUGUACAGGCGUAUCUUUGUCGAAACUGCUAUCAGGGAAAAAAUAGAGGACCCACACUGCCAUUGGAAACGGUCACGUCGUCAAGUGGUGCGCGUGCAAAAAGACCAAGGCCAUCUGAUGGUCCGAGGGUGGCAGAGAGGAUAGUUCACGGACUGGAGGAAGAAUUUGAGGUUCGAUUAAAGUGGAAAGUAUGGAACUCUGCUAGGAUUGUCUUCAGAAGAAAUUUCAAUACAAAUCUGGAAAUUAUUAUCUCAUUGAGGAGCAACGCUGUGUUAACACAUUCCAAUUGCAAUUUUUAUUUUCAAUCGAUUUAGAUUAACUUCUUGCUUGUUUUAACGCUGCGAGUUUGGGAGAGAAUUCCGAGGGUUCGUUUAAGAUUUGUUCAUUUGUUAUUUCCUUCGACUAGAUUCUACGAUUUUAGGAAAUUUAUACACAUUUCUGUUCGCUUGAUCUCUGGAUUCUUCCAAUUAUAUGUUAAACACCUUAGAACAUGAGAACUCUCCUUUAUUUCCCAAAAAUGGAAGAUAGAUUGAAGUAUAAAAAUUCGGAAAAUGGACUACUAGGAAGAAAAAUGUAUAGAUAAAGGUCAAAGUGACAGGGGAAAUAAUGUUCUAAUGGUUUCGAGCAGCCUGGUAUGAAAAAUAGAAAAGAAUUGCCGAAACGAUGUUAAAUUCAGGUAAAGUAAUUUCCAGCAAUCGAUAUCCAUCAUCAACUUAAACUCUUUUAUCGGAUGAUCUCCAUUAACCUUCUAAUUAACACUGACUACCUUCCAUAAAUCACCCUGCACGCUUUUCCAUCAUCGUACCUGCUCGAAUGAAAAUAAAAAUGUUACCUGCUACAUGGCGACACGAUACCAUACUAUAAAUACAGUGGUAGACAGCGUGAAUUGUCACAAAUAUUCGACGGAUGGCGAAAAACAAGUGGCCGGGAACACGAAAGCCGAUAAGCCUUGGGACGACUUAACUCGAUAAAUCGGCGACACGUCGUUCGCCACGGCGUAACUUCAUCCUCGUAUCAUACGUCACUCAACCAACAUUCUGCCUGUCGUCCUCUACUCACGUGCAAUACGUCUUCUCCGAGUUUACCCACGUAUCGUUGCUUGUGAGGCCUCCGUGACGAAGCUUCUCUCUUCUUCUCUUCCUAACUUCUUCCUUGCACACCGGAAACAUCGAACACACUUUUUUUUUUAUCUUCACAUUGUUCCAUCGUAUUUGUUGGUCUUUCGGCGAAGAGAAAAGCGUCUUCUGAAAUAUGACGAGUAGAACACGUCUUCUUUAUUUCUCAUGCAACAAGAAUUAACGAUCAAAAUGUUUAUAACAGCCAGUUAUAUUCGUCACAUGGAUUAUAGUUUUAAUUCCACGAAGAUAAAAUGUAUUUGUAGCAAAGUUUACUUUGAAUUCUACUAUAUAUUACACUUUUUAAAUAAUAGAAUGAACAGCCAGUGUUUAGUGAAAUAUUAAGGAACAAUACACAAAUUGAAGGGUUAAGUCUUCUGUUGUGUUUGUAAGUAACUUCACGUUUAGAACUAAUUUUAAAACGUUUCAAACUAACUAACUAAUUCCACGAAGAUAAAAUGUAUUUGUAGUAAAGUUUACUUUGAAUUCUACUAUAUAUUACAUUUCUUAAAUAAUAGAAUGAACAGCCAGUGUUUAGUGGAAUAUCAAGGAACAAUACAUAAAUUGAAGGAUUAAGUCUUCUGUUGUGUUUGUAACUAACUUCACGUUUAGAACUAAUUUUAAAACGUUUCAAACUAACUAACUAAUUCCACGAAGAUAAAAUGUAUUUGUAGCAAAGUUUACUUUGAAUUCUAUUGUAUAUUACACUUUUUAAAUAAUAGAAUGAACAGCCAGUGUUUAGUGAAAUAUCAAGGAACAAUACACAAAUUGAAGGAUUAAGUCUUCUGUUGUGUUUGUAACUAACUUCACGUUUAGAACUAAUUUUAAAACGUUUCAAACUAACUAACUAAUUCCACGAAGAUAAAAUGUAUUUGUAGCAAAGUUUACUUUGAAGUCUACUAUAUAUUACACUUUUUAAAUAAUAGAAUGAACAGCCAGUGUUUAGUGGAACAUCAAGGAACAAUACAGAAAGUGAAGAAAUAAGUCUUCUGUUGUGUUUGUAAGUAACUUGUACCGAUAAAAGUAAUUAUAAUCGUGUACUUUAUCUAACAAACUUCAUGAGAAAUGAGUACAUAUGUCCUAAGCAGUAAAUAAAACCUGGAAUCUAGUUUUGGUAAAGUUUGAUACAAAGAAGAUGAAGAAAUCCAAAGACACACUUGGCACAUAAUAGAAGGAUUAAAUGCAACAAUUCUUUGGACUUGGAAGUAAUUUUAAACAGACCUGGGGAAGCACGAUAUUAAUCACUAAAAUACAAUCCAUUUGAUAGAAACCUUACAUUCACUGUAUCUAUGUUCGAAAUGGAAUGGAAAAAGUAACAAAGCAAUUUUCGGGUGCCAUGUUUCAGCGAUGGCAGCGAAGAAACGUUGGCGCUAGGAUAGUGGAUGCAUUAUACAUUAAACGCGGCUUCGUUGAAAUUACGAUCGGUUUAUGAGCAACAAAAAUAUGUAGAACGAACGCACGUAGCACGGGGAAAAUGUAUCCCGACCAGGGUCUCCCGUUCCCAGACGUCGUUUACGACCGACCCGUAUCCGUGGUUAACACAGCGACUACAUAUUUAUUGAUUAAUUCACGCCAACUCAUCAGCAUACAGCGCAAUUUCGACGUGGCCGACAAAUAGCGGAGGAUGUUUCGUAGUAUGAAAAGCCGAGGACAAAGAUCGAUAGCGUGCGUUCUGUGUCCCCCGUAUCAACCCCAUGGAAAUUUUUCUCGGAAGACUCUCUGACAAACUAUGGGAACGCUGUUCGCUACCGAAUUCCAUUUUCUGCCACGAAGAAAUCUUCGAAUUUGAUCAACGAUUACGUAGAUGCAGGAAGAGAGAACGUCGUCCACGCUAUUUCCGUCGAUCUUCGCUCAGACACACGAUGCUUGCAAGAGGUGCUGUCUUCGACUGGCAUCGAGUAUCGUAUAUCGUGGAAUGCUUCAAGAAGGAAGGAACGUCCGGGCUCCGUGUGUUGAAUAAUAAAUCCCGAUCGCCGGUCGAUUUCCUUUUCCAUACACCGACCAACACCGCGAUUCGCAUUCGUGGCUCGCUGCCCUUUUGAAUCUCGGAUCGAGUACGCCAUAAAAGAAUCGGCUCGCUUCCCGUCGCCUGUGUUCUUCGCGAUCGAUGGGUCCGUUGCAUGGAUGGAUUAUGUCAUCCACGGCAUUUCGAUCCACUAUGGAAUCUUCCUGUUGAUCGACGAUCAAAAGGGAGUGGCCUGGAAAUUUCAAAGAAGAAUCUGUUAAAUUAUUUAUUUGGCAGUUUAGGUAGAUGAAUUGUAGGAGUAGCAUAUUCUCAGAGUACGCUAUAUCUCGAUUUAUAGAUGAAGACGUGUUUUGAAAUAUUCAUUUAUUCUAAGAUGAAUUUUGGCAGUGUGAUAUGUGAAGAAUUUUCUAUGCUUUGUCCUGUAUAGAUGAAGUUGCUUUUUGCAGUUGUGAUUGACAGAGAAGCUUCUAGAGUUGGAGUAACUUCAUCUUAUUUCUUGUUUUUAAAAUGGUGGGAUUAUAUGAUUGAGAGAGUAGGGUGUAUAGGAUAGAAAGUUUGAAUAAAAUAGAGUUUAUAAAGUGAUGCCAGCUACUUUAAAAUGUAACUGUUACUUUGUGAAACUCUGCAAUAUUAAAAAGAAAGGGAUUAUGCAAUAACUGUAAGUUUUCUUUCAACAUGAAGUUACUAAAAAAUAAUUUCCACACAUUUUUAAUANUUGUCUUUUAAUUUUCUAUGCUUUGUCCUGUAUAGAUGAAGUUGCUUUUUGCAGUUGUGAUUGACAGAGAAGCUUCUGGAGUUGGAGUAACUUCAUCUUAUUUCUUGUUUUUAAAAUGCUAGAAUUAUAUGAUUGAGAGAGUAGGGUGUAUAGGAUAGAACGUUUGAAUAAAACAGAGUUUAUAAAGUGAUACCUUAAAAUGUAACUGUUACUUUGCGUAGAACUCUGCAAUAUUAAAAAGAAAGGAAGAGAAAUGAAGUGAAUAUACAUUAACUGUAAGUUUUCUUUUAACACGAAGUUACUAUAAUAUUGUCUUCUAAUAUUACAAUAAUCAAAUUCAGAAUUAAGAUACAACUGGCAGGAACAUCCCUGAAAAUGCAUUCAUAGCCAACUAAGACAAGAACAAUUUCUAAAUUUAAGAAGAAAAAUUUCAUAACAAAAGACGUAGCUGUAUGAAAGAAAGAAAGAAGAAGAAAGAUUCCUGAAAUAUUGAAAGAACAAACACUUUGCUCGAUUCACGGCAAAAAUUCCCUGAAACUCCAUAAUAAACGUGCAACGCCCUAAAACGCGAUAUCCAGACGGAAAAGGAGAAAUCGAGCUCUCAGCCGAUAAUUUAACGGAGCAAACAAAUUGCACGCGGGCAGCUUCGAAUAAAACACAAGUCGGUUGCAGCGGAAGCUUAAACGACUGGGCUAAUGUUAUUGAGAUGAAUCCGAAAGCCAGAUGGGCGGGUUAGAAUCCCCCUCCACUGCAGACAAGGAAUCGCGAUGCCGCGCAUUUCCAAGCAAAAUUUUACCUUCCACUCUCGUCGUUCUACUCGUUUGAAAAAUGCCCUCCGUCGAGAAUUCAAUUGCGCCUCUGCAAACAUAGAUUAUACUAACUGCAGCCUGAUUAACCACGUCCUUAUCGAUGUUUUCAUUCGACGAUUCUUAAGACACCGAUAGAUAGACAUCUUCAAAUGAGCAUACCUAUAUUAUUUAUAGUAAUUCGAAAAAGUAUUUGCAUAAUAUAUUUAGUAUUAAUGUUAAUAUUAUAUCAGGAUUUUUAUUAAUAUCUGUUUAUUAUAUUAGCGUGUAUUAUAGUAUUUAGAUAAGUAUUUAUUAUAACAUUUUAUAACGUACUGAUUUAUUAAUAGGGUUGAUUUCUGUUAAUCAAUUAA